GACGAACGCUGGCGGCGUGCUUAACACAUGCAAGUCGAACGAAGAGCGAUGGAAGCUUGCUUCUAUCAAUCUUGGUGGCGAACGGGUGAGUAACGCGUAAUCAACCUGCCCUUCAGAGGGGGACAACAGUUGGAAACGACUGCUAAUACCGCAUACGAUCUAAUCUCGGCAUCGAGGAUAGAUGAAAGGUGGCCUCUGCAUGUAAGCUAUCACUGAAGGAGGGGAUUGCGUCUGAUUAGCUAGUUGGAGGGGUAACGGCCCACCAAGGCGAUGAUCAGUAGCCGGUCUGAGAGGAUGAACGGCCACAUUGGGACUGAGACACGGCCCAGACUCCUACGGGAGGCAGCAGUGGGGAAUCUUCCGCAAUGGACGAAAGUCUGACGGAGCAACGCCGCGUGAGUGAUGACGGCCUUCGGGUUGUAAAGCUCUGUUAAUCGGGACGAAAGGCCUUCUUGCGAAUAGUGAGAAGGAUUGACGGUACCGGAAUAGAAAGCCACGGCUAACUACGUG
rnacentral:rRNA from 1 species